GAGUUUGAUCAUGGCUCAGGACGAACGCUGGCGGCGUGCCUAAUACAUGCAAGUAGAACGCUGAAGGAGGAGCUUGCUUCUCUGGAUGAGUUGCGAACGGGUGAGUAACGCGUAGGUAACCUGCCUGGUAGCGGGGGAUAACUAUUGGAAACGAUAGCUAAUACCGCAUAAUAGUAGAUGUUGCAUGACAUUUGCUUAAAAGGUGCAAUUGCAUCACUACCAGAUGGACCUGCGUUGUAUUAGCUAGUUGGUGAGGUAACGGCUCACCAAGGCGACGAUACAUAGCCGACUGAGAGGGUGAUCGGCCACACUGGGACUGAGACACGGCCCAGACUCCUACGGGAGGCAGCAGUAGGGAAUCUUCGGCAAUGGACGGAAGUCUGACCGAGCAACGCCGCGUGAGUGAAGAAGGUUUUCGGAGUCGUAAAGCUCUGUUGUAAGAGAAGAACGAGUGUGAGAGUGGAAAAGUUCACACUGUGACGGUAU
rnacentral:rRNA from 1 species